rnacentral:rRNA from 1 species
GACGAACGCUGGCGGCGUGCCUAAUACAUGCAAGUUGAGCGCUGAAGGUUGGUACUUGUACCAACUGGAUGAGCAGCGAACGGGUGAGUAACGCGUGGGGAAUCUGCCUUUGAGCGGGGGACAACAUUUGGAAACGAAUGCUAAUACCGCAUAAAAACUUUAAACACAAGUUUUAAGUUUGAAAGAUGCAAUUGCAUCACUCAAAGAUGAUCCCGCGUUGUAUUAGCUAGUUGGUGAGGUAAAGGCUCACCAAGGCGAUGAUACAUAGCCGACCUGAGAGGGGGAUCGGCCACAUUGGGACUGGGAAACGGCCCAAACUCCUACGGGAGGCAGCAGUAGGGAAUCUUCGGCAAUGGACGAAAGUCUGACCGAGCAACGCCGCGGGAGUGAAGAAGGGUGUCGGAUCGGAAAACUCUGUUGGUAGAGAAGAACGUUGGUGAGAGUGGAAAGCUCAUCAAGUGACGGUAACUACCCAGAAAGGGACGGCUAACUACGUG